CAGCCGCCGCGGUAAUACGUAGGUGGCAAGCGUUAUCCGGAAUUAAUGGGCGUAAAGCGCGCGCAGGUGGUUUAAUAAGUCUGAUGUGAAAGCCCACGGCUCAACCGUGGAGGGUCAUUGGAAACUGUUAAACUUGAGUGCAGGAGAGAAAAGUGGAAUUCCUAGUGUAGCGGUGAAAUGCGUAGAGAUUAGGAGGAACACCAGUGGCGAAGGCGGCUUUUGGCCUGUAACUGACACUGAGGCGCGAAAGCGUGGGGAGCAAACAGGAUUAGAUACCCCUGUAGUCCCUGUCUCUUAUACC
rnacentral:rRNA from 1 species